rnacentral:misc_RNA from 1 species
CGCUGAGCAGGAGCAGGAGGCUGAGGUGGCCCGGGGCCGCGACCUGCGCCGCGCCAGAGCCGGAGACGGAGGAGCCUUGGAUCUUGCCGCCGCCGUGGCCCGGCGGGACGAGCUGGGGCUUGAGGAGGGGGCUCGGGGGCAACUUGCAGGACGGCGUUGUGAGCUUGGGCAGGAGGAACGCCAUGGCUCCCUGCUUCUUGCUCCUCGGUUUCUCUGGUCCCCUCUGCUUCGUCUACGAGGCUCGGUGUCCCAUGGAGAAGCUUCCAAAUCCAAUGGGGGCUGCGUUCUCGGGAGCCUGCGUUCGUGGGUUCGUGUGUGUAGAGAAGAGGAAGAGGAUUUGAGUGGCUCUGAAAGCUGCAGCGAAGCCUGUGGAGGAAAGAUCGUUGCUCUGAGUCACACUGGU